GUGUGCGUGCUGGACGCGCCAGUUUUGUGAUGGUGAUGAUGAUGCUCUGCGCACCCUGGAGAUAAAGAGCCCGCUUCCCCCUCCCAUUGCCUGGCUGGAGGGGAUUGCGAGGAUGAGCUUUUUAGCUCAGAAGUGACGGGGUGUCCGACGAGAUCGUUCUUUGGUGGGAAGAAACUCAGACUGGGCGUGUCUAGUAGUCAGUGACUGACCUGGAGAAAGACCCUUGGCCCCUCCCAGCUUCGUUAUUCCCACUUGAAACACAGGAGGACCCAGUGUGGACCAGCCUCCUGGAGGGUGAGGCGUCUAUAUAUUAAUACAAACACCGCCCCAGCGCUUUUUCUGGGACCUGAGAGGGCGGCUCACUUGUAGAACAUUCACUGCCGUCUGUUUUGGCAACUUGGACCCUCCUUGUUUGGAGGUUUUUUAUCCCAGGAGGGCUGACCUUCCACGAGGGGUGGAGCAGAAGUUCUGCUAUGUUGGGCCGUGAGACCAUCACCUGGAUAGUUGGGCUUCCCGAAGCCACCAAACCGUCAGGAAGCCUAAAGGGACCUUCUCCCGGCUGAAGUGAUGGAGCCGGAGUACCGAGGGCAAGUUGGGUGAUCGUUGUCCAGUGGAGUGAGGAAGGACUGUGUGGAACGUUCCAAAAACAAGGAAACGAAGAUAGAACUGUGGAAGAAUCAAUUCCUGGACUCCUGAAGAAAAACUCAUCCUUGCGUGAGUGUGUGGCUGACUUGUUAGACAUCUAGUGGUCCCUAGCCCCUAGCAAGGUUCAGUGAUAUGCAGCACAUUCCCUGGGCAUCCCAGCUGGUUUCCAGGAGAACCUCCCAGGUGCCCCAGCUAGUAAUUUCCUGGCCAUUUCCACAGGCACUGCUCCGGUAGCCUCCCAGUGAUUUUCAUCAGUUUCCCAGCUGAAUGCAGUAGGUA